rnacentral:rRNA from 1 species
GAUGAACGCUGGCGGCGUGCCUAAUACAUGCAAGUCGAACGAACAGACGAGGAGCUUGCUCCUCUGACGUUAGCGGCGGACGGGUGAGUAACACGUGGAUAACCUACCUAUAAGACUGGGAUAACUUCGGGAAACCGGAGCUAAUACCGGAUAAUAUAUUGAACCGCAUGGUUCAAUAGUGAAAGACGGUUUUGCUGUCACUUAUAGAUGGAUCCGCGCCGCAUUAGCUAGUUGGUAAGGUAACGGCUUACCAAGGCAACGAUGCGUAGCCGACCUGAGAGGGUGAUCGGCCACACUGGACCUGAGACACGGUCCAGACUCCUACGGGAGGCAGCAGUAGGGAAUCUUCCGCAAUGGGCGAAAGCCUGACGGAGCAACGCCGCGUGAGUGAUGAAGGUCUUCGGAUCGUAAAACUCUGUUAUUAGGGAAGAACAAAUGUGUAAGUAACUAUGCACGUCUUGACGGUACCUAAUCAGAAAGCCACGGCUAACUACGU